CACCCUAAGUUUUUGGUAGGGUUCGUGUUGCUUAUUCUUUAGUUUUCUGUGUUGUGUCAUGUGUACUUUUGUUCGUCUGUUUUUUUUUUUUUCAUUCUUAGCCAUGGCGUCAGUUUAUUUUUCGAUCUAUGAGUUUGACUGUCCCUCUGGUAUCUUUCGUCCCUCUUUGGUUAUAUACAUGACAAUGCAGCUUAAAUUUGAGGCGGCGGCGGAUUUGUAAAUGAGUGUCUUUCAAAUUAAAAGUGUCCAGUGUUUAAGGACGUUCCCUUUUGAAUUUUCCUCGACGUUCAGUAUUGUGAUGUUAACCCA
rnacentral:lncRNA from 1 species